ensembl:lncRNA
UCCCAACAUAUGGAGGUGAAAUUGAGCCAAGAUAGGUACAUAAGAGUCAUUUCGUUUUACAGGGGGAAAAAACACAUCUCCCUGGACUAUAGGGACCAAACCCCAAUCCAAAGCACAAACAUAUCCACACGGUGUUUUCCUUUUUUUUUUUUCCACUUAUAAUUCCCUCAUGAAUGAUCCAUGAGAACAGGACCUGGAGAGGUGGAGAGUGUCCCGCUCACUACCUCAGCACAGUGCCUGUCUUGACUGUUGCCUUCAGAGCCUUUUUCUUCCUAGUGACAAAGAUCAGCACCUAUGUAGGAGAUUGAAUUAGGUUGGUACCCCUAGGGUCAUGUGCUUCAAUACAAUUCCUAGUUGGGACAACAGUUUAGGAAGAAUUAGGCAGUAUAGUCUGGGGAAGAGCAGUGUCCCUGGGGCUGGGUUUACAGGUAUCAAAGCCCAGGCCAUUCCAAUUGAUUCUCUCUCUGCCUCCCACUUGUGGUCCAAGUGAGCCCUCAGCUGUUCUGUUCACAAUGGUUUUGAUGAUCCCAGUGGAUACUCAACUUGUAAAUGAGUUUAAAGCACACAUUCACUUUUAUACGUUUGCUGCCUGGGUCCAGGUGUCUUUUUGCAGCGAAUGUAAGGAACAUGCAGACCUUAGUAGCUAUUGCUUUAGUGGAUCCAAUGCACUGAAAUUUACUUAUUCAAAAGUCAAAGCCAGUGGAUAUUUUAGUGCCUUUUGCUGUCGAGUCAUUAAUAUAUAUUUGUGAAUGCUAAAGGCAUGUUAUUGAAGGGAAGGGCGAUCCACUGUCCUGGACACUUGGAGUACUUAUAAAUCUCAACCAUGACAACCAUGAGUGGUUAUCCUGCUAUCAGAGGCUUCAGAAAUGCAGCUUAUCCAAGCUGAAGCCAGUGCUGGCUGAAGCACAUAGAGAACAACUGCCCAAGUAACCCCUUCUUCUAAGUGACCCCACACGCUCUCCUGAGCAUGGAGCACCUGUGAAGUCAAUGUUGAAUAAGAUAGACUCAGGUAGACUAAUUCUGUGGUCUUUUGCUAAUUCCACAUCUGGGUUACACAGGUAUUUGUUUAUGUCUUCUCAGGCAAUGCCACCUUGGUGCACAUAUAAUGCUUUAAAGAGAAAAGAUACAGGAAUAUUGAUAAGAAUAUUUCAUUUAGAUCCUGGUUAUCAUGCUCUAUUACAUUCAUAUGUCAGUCUGCAAUUUGCAAAAUGUAUUGAUGUUUAAUGUCUCAAUAAACAAUGUCAAGAUAGUGGCGAUACUUUAUGUCCGGCACUCUCUGCCCAAAUAGUUUUCUUUGACUCCUCCUCUUGCAGCAGGCCCUCCUCUAUUCUGAGGUCAAAGAAGUUUCCUACAGCAACAUACUGAGUAUCUAGCUGGAAAGGCUUUGAUGUAACGAGGACCUGGUAUAGAUUAAUUGUAAUAGGAUGGUGUAAUGUACAAGGUCAAUGUUGUGAUGAACACUGCCAUACAAGCAUACCAUUUCAUUUCUUAAUGCUUCCUGCCUGCUUUAGAGGACCUAGGUUCUUGGAAGAUAUGGGUGGGUGGGGGGUUGUGGCUUUUCUUCAGAGACUUUUGAAAUAACAAAAAGGAAACAGGAAACAACAGGGAAGCUCUCUCUUAUGCCCAUUCUGAUGAGACACCCAAUUUUCUGAGAGGGUGAUGAAGGUUUCCUUGUCCAAGUCUUCCUCAGGCGACAGUGGAAUUUCCUGUUCUGAUGUGCUC